rnacentral:rRNA from 1 species
CAGCUAGUUGGCGGGGUAAUGGCCCACCAAGGCUUAGAUCGGUAGCCGGCCUGAGAGGGCGCACGGCCACACUGGAACUGAAACACGGUCCAGACUCCUACGGGAGGCAGCAGUGGGGAAUUUUGCGCAAUGGGGGAAACCCUGACGCAGCAACGCCGCGUGGAGGAUGAAGUCCCUUGAGAUGUAAACUCCUUUCGACCGGGAAGAUGAUGACGGUACCGGUAGAAGAAGCACCGGCUAACUCUGUGCCAGCAGCCGCGGUAAUACAGAGGGUGCGAGCGUUGUUCGGAAUUAUUGGGCGUAAAGGGCGCGUAGGCGGCGCGGUAAGUCACUUGUGAAAUCUCCCGGCUCAACCGGGAGGGUGCGCCGAAAACUGGAGGACUAGAGUGCGGGAUAGGAGAGUGGAAUUCCUGGUGUAGCGGUGAAAUGCGUAGAUAUCAGGAGGAACACCGGCGGUGUAGACGGCUCUCUGGACCGUAACUGACGCUGAGACACGAAAGCGUGGGUAGCAAACAGGAUUAGAUACCCUGGUAGUCCACGCCCUAAACGAUGCAUAUUUGGUGUGGGUGAUUCAGUUCAUCCGUGCCGGAGCUAACGCGUUAAAUAUGCCGCCUGGGGAGUACAGUCGCAAGGCUGAAACUCAAAGGAAUUGACGG